UGGAGCAUACUGUAUCUAUUUCAUGAAU
rnacentral:piRNA from 1 species